UACGUAGGGUGCGAGCGUUGUCCGGAAUUAUUGGGCGUAAAGGGCUCGUAGGCGGUUUGUCGCGUCGGGAGUGAAAACCCAGGGCUUAACCCUGGGCUGGCUUCCGAUACGGGCAGACUAGAGGUAUGCAGGGGAGAACGGAAUUCCUGGUGUAGCGGUGAAAUGCGCAGAUAUCAGGAGGAACACCGGUGGCGAAGGCGGAUCUCUGGGCCAUUACUGACGCUGAGGAGCGAAAGCGUGGGGAGCGAACAGG
rnacentral:rRNA from 1 species